rnacentral:tRNA from 1 species
GCUAACGUAGCUUAAUUAAAGCAUAACACUGAAGAUGUUAAGAUAGACCUUAAAAUGGUUUCGUAAGCA